rnacentral:rRNA from 1 species
GUCUACGGCCAUAUGACCCUGAACAUGCUCAUUCUCAUCUGAUCUCAGAAGCUAAGCAGGGUCAGGCCUGGUUAGUACUUGGAUGGGAGAAGACUGCGUGAAGACCGAGGCAGAGGUUGGAG